UCCGGUUUGUCACCGGCAGUCUCGCGUGAGUCCCCAACUUAAUGCUGGCAACACGCGACAAGGGUUGCGCUCGUUGCGGGACUUAACCCAACAUCUCACGACACGAGCUGACGACAGCUAUGCAGCACCUGUGUGCAGGCUCCCUUUCGGGCACCCCCCCAUCUCUGGGGGGUUCCUGCCAUGUCAAGGGUAGGUAAGGUUUUUCGCGUUGCAUCGAAUUAAUCCACAUCAUCCACCGCUUGUGCGGGCCCCCGUCAAUUCCUUUGAGUUUUAAUCUUGCGACCGUACUCCCCAGGCGGCGGACUUCACGCGUUAGCUGCGUCACUAAGGGAUUGCUCCCCCAACGACUAGUCCGCAUCGUUUAGGGCGUGGACUAC
rnacentral:misc_RNA from 1 species